AGCUAACUACCAAAGACAAUUAGCUCCCACUGAACAACCGAGCACGUCAUCCCAUAUGGAGCACAGUUCUGUCACACAAUCCCGGGUCCCAAUACCUUACAGGCUCCACAUUAGCUCCUCUCUUAAAUCCACUCUUAAAUCAACAAACAAAACCAGUACCUUUAGAAGAGCACCUACCAUCUUUAACUUGCUCCGAAAUGAUAAGUCCAAAAGGCCUAAAGAAUAUAGAUCAGGUGUGUAUAAAAUUCCUCUGUGCAAUGUUGGAAAUAAUCAGACAGAAACUUACAUAGGAGCUACGGCCUGAAACUUUAAGGACAGAAUUAAAGAGCAUAAGGACAAUAUUUCUAAAGGAAACCUUACCACCGC
rnacentral:lncRNA from 1 species